rnacentral:antisense_RNA from 1 species
AAUUUUUGCUGACUUUAUUAAUGCGUUUUCUUCCAAGCAAUUAAAAAAUUUCAAAUCAAAACCAAAUGAUCUUAUAUUAAUCGGAUGAUUCGGAAAUUUUUAGUACAUAUUUAUCAAAGUCUGACUGAGCUGAUUCAUCAAAUAUCUCAUUUGCUGUAUAAAUAUCUGCAGCUAGCUGAGCCUUGUCUAAUUCUUCUUUCAAGACCUUUGAAUAUAUAUUAAGAAUAUUUAUAAGAGCUCUUCUGCAAGAACUUAUGCCAAAAUCUUUGCAUUGCUGAUCCAUUUGUUUUAGUUUGAAAAUUUUAGUUAUUAAAUCUGAAUUCUCAUUAACUUUGAAGGAGAUUUUACGAAUUGAACGUAGCACAGUCUUAUAUUGUUUCUCAUCCUCAAUAUCCAAACUUUUUUCAGAGUGUUUAACAGUUUCUUCGUCAAUGUACGGCCCAUGAGUUAUAGAUAAUGCAAACUUAUUUGAUGGAUCAAGUGACAAAAGCUUAGUCUUACAGCUAGAUAAUGAAGAGUGAAGAAUAGAAAAAGCUGUGGUUGCUUGAAUUAACAUCUCCUCUAAUAGUUCAGAAUUCCCAGUCCAAGUUUUUACAAUAUUUGAAAUUAUCAUUAAUGCUAUAUCAACAAAAUCCUGAAUUAAAAUGCAACAACGACUUACACGUCUAAAUGACUGGUAAUCUUCUUCAAUUAGAAUAACUGAUAAAGUUAAUGGUUGUUUGUCAAUAACUGGGCCUCUUACAGUAGACGUUUCAUUUGAAAGUCGUUCAAUAACUUCUUUCAAUUCAGAAGUAUGUGGUUUUUCAGAAUGAGAAGUUUCAGUUUUCGUUGUACUGCCUUGUUGGGAUCUCAAAGAUUGUUUACUUUUAGAAUUAAUUAUUUGUAAAUCAGUAGUAGGAGAUUUAUGUGGGAGAGUCUGUCCAUAAAUAGAUUUCUGUUCUCUCCAUUGUUUCUUAGAAUCAUUAUAUCCCAAAUUAGUUAAAGGUUUUUGUUUAUUUUUAUCGUAAGAACGAUCACUAUCUUUUCUAUAGGAAGAUUGACCAACGGAACUUAAGUAAUAGUCAUAAAAUGGUGUACGAUGAGGAUUUAAUGGGGAGUAAUUAGAAAAUCUUUGUCCGUAUAUGUUAUAUUGACUACUUUGAGCAGUGGGGCUUUUUCCAAUAGAUUCUAAAUAAUAUUUAUAGAAAGUGGACUGUACAGAAGGAUUUAGAGACGAAGUUGAAUAAGAACUACUGGGUUGUGUUAGUAAAAUCUGAUUCCCAGGCGAUAAUGAACUUCUAGAAUGAACUGUUCGGCUGUGCGAUAAAGCUCCUCCAUUAUUAACACUUUGGGAAUUAUAACUAUAGUUAGCACGAUUAGAACCUAGCCCUCCGGGAGAUACAAUUCCCUUUGGACCCACCUUCUUAUUACUAGAAUAAUGAUUUCUAUCUGAGUAAGCUUGAUAAUUAUUUUCGUUUCCUAAAGGAUUCGAUUUCAAUGAAGAACCAAAGGAAAACUGGAGUAAGAAUAAGAAUAAAAGAGAAAUGUAGGAAUAUAAUACUGUCAUUCUAGAACUAGCUCUCAAAAUAAUAAUUAACAAUAAAGUUUACUAAUUAAUAUUUUUUGAAUUAGUUCUUUAAGAAUUGUAUAAUUUAUAUUUAUA